rnacentral:rRNA from 1 species
CCUACGGGGGGCUGCAGUGGGGAAUAUUGGACAAUGGGCGAAAGCCUGAUCCAGCCAUGCCGCGUGUGUGAAGAAGGCCUUCGGGUUGUAAAGCACUUUCAGAGGGGAAGAAACCCUUGGUGCUAAUAACCUCGAGUAAGGACAUUACCCACAGAAUAAGCACCGGCUAACUCCGUGCCAGCAGCCGCGGUAAUACGGAGGGUGCGAGCGUUAAUCGGAAUUACUGGGCGUAAAGCGCGCGUAGGCGGUCUGAUAAGCCGGUUGUGAAAGCCCCGGGCUCAACCUGGGAACGGCAUCCGGAACUGUCAGGCUGGAGUGCAGGAGAGGGAGGUAGAAUUCCCGGUGUAGCGGUGAAAUGCGUAGAGAUCGGGAGGAAUACCAGUGGCGAAGGCGGCCUUCUGGACUGACACUGACGCUGAGGUGCGAAAGCGUGGGUAGCAAACAGGAUUAGAUACCCGAGUAGUC